GACGAACGCUGGCGGCGUGCUUAACACAUGCAAGUCGAACGAUGAAACCUAGCUUGCUAGGUCGAUUAGUGGCGAACGGGUGAGUAACACGUGACUAACCUGCCCCUUUCUCUGGGAUAACGCUCCGAAAGGAGUGCUAAUACCGGAUACUCACACCUAGGCACAUGCCAUGGUGUGGAAAGUUUUUCGGAAAGGGAUGGAGUCGCGGCCUAUCAGCUUGUUGGUGAGGUAACGGCUCACCAAGGCGACGACGGGUAGCCGGCCUGAGAGGGCGGCCGGCGACACUGGAGCUGAGACACGGCCCAGACUCCUACGGGAGGCAGCAGUGGGGAAUAUUGCAAAGUGGGGAGAAGCCUGAUGCAGCGACGCCGCGUGAGGGAUGAAGGUCUUCGGAUUGUAAACCUCUUUCAGUAGGGACGAAGCGAAAGUGACGGUACCUAAAGAAGAAGCACCGGCUAACUACGUGCCAGCAGCCGCCGUAA
rnacentral:rRNA from 1 species